UAGAAAGUGGUGUAAUGGGAGCACGAGGAGUUUUGAUCUCUUAAGUAUAGGGUUCGAGUCCCUUUUUUCUAA
rnacentral:tRNA from 1 species